AUUGAACGCUGGCGGCAGGCCUAACACAUGCAAGUCGAGCGAGAGGCGGACGGGUGAGUAAUGUAUGAGGAUCUGCCCGAUAGAGGGGGAUAACUACUGGAAACGGUGGCUAAUACAGCAUAAUAGCGGAUGCAACCAUAUGGGAUUAGCUAGUAGGGGGGGUAAAGGCUCACCUAGGCGACGAUCCCUAGCUGGUCUGAGAGGAUGAGCAGCCCCACUGGGACUGAGACACGGCCCAGACUCCUACGGGAGGCAGCAGUGGGGAAUAUGGCACAAUGGGCGCAAGCCUGAUGCAGCCAUGCCGCGUGUAUGAAGAAGGCCUUAGGGUUGUAAAGUACUUUCAGCGGGGAGGCGUUACCCGCAGAAGAAGCACCGGCUAACUCCGUGCCAGCAGCCGCGGUAAUUC
rnacentral:rRNA from 1 species